AUUGCACGCUGGCGGCAGGCCUAACACAUGCAAGUCGAGCGAGCGGCGGACGGGUGAUUAAGGUAUGGGGACUGCACGACAGCGGGGGACAACUACUGGAAACGGUAGCUAAUAUCGCAUACUAUGGGUUCACCCAUAUGGGAAUAGCAAGUAGGUGAGGUAAGGGCUCACCUAGGCGACGAUCCCUAGCUGGUCUGAUAGGAUGCUCAGCCACACUGGGACGGAGACACGGCCCAGCCUCCUACGGAGGCAGCAGUGGGGAAUAUUGCACAAUGGGCGCAAGCCUGAUGCAGCCAUGCCGCGUGUAUGAAGAAGGCCCUCGGGUUGUAAAGUACUUUCGGUCGGGAGGCGUUACCGACAGAAGAAGCACCGGCUAACUCCGUGCCAGCAGCCGCGGUAAUUC
rnacentral:rRNA from 1 species